UACAGAGGUCUCAAGCGUUUGUUCGGAUUCAUUGGGCGUAAAGGGUGCGUAGGCGGUUCUUUGUGUCCGCUGUGAAAGCCCCGGGCUUAACCUGGGAAUGGCAGUGGAAACUAGAGAACUUGAAUCUGGCAGAGGGGGGUGGAAUGCCACGUGGUAGCAGUGAAAUGCGUAGAUAUGUGGCGGAACACCGAUGGCGAAGGCAGCCCCCUGGGCUGAGAUUGACGCUCAGGCACGAAAGCGUGGGGAGCAAACAGG
rnacentral:rRNA from 1 species